UGAUGCAGCGACGCCGCGUGAGGGAUGACGGACUUCGGGUUGUAAACCUCUUUCAGCAGGGAAGAAGCGAAAGUGACGGCACCUGCAGAAGAUGCGCCGGCUAACUACUUGCCAGCAGCCGCGGWAAUACGUAGGUCGCAAGCGUUGUCCGGAAUUAUUGGGCGUAAAGAGMUCGUAGGCGGCUUGUCACGUCGGGUGUGAAAGCCCGGKGCUUAACCCCGGKCCUGCAUUCGAUACGGGCUAGCUAGAGUGUGGUAGGGGAGAUCGGAAUUCCUGGUGUAGCGGUGAAAUGYKCAGAUAUCAGGAGGAACACCGGWGSCGAAGGCGGAUCUCUGGGCCAUUACUGACGCUGAGGAUYGAAAGCGUGGGGAGCGAACAGGAUUAWAUACCCUGRUAKUCCACGCCGUAAACGGUGGKAACUAGGUGUUGGCGACAUUCCACGUCGUCGGUGCCGCAGCUAACGCAUUAAGUUCCCCGCCUGGSGAGUACGGUCGCAAGGCUAAAACUCAAUGGAAUUGACGGRGGYCCGCACAAGCAGYGGAGCAUGUGGCUUAAUUUCGAYGCAACKCGAAKAACCUUACCAAGGYUUGACWUACGCCGKAAAG
rnacentral:rRNA from 1 species